rnacentral:tRNA from 1 species
GUGCCGGUAACCCCAAAAACCAUGCAGCAAGGGAUUGAAAAUCCUUGUGUCGGCGGUUCGAUUCCGUCCCAGGCCACCA